rnacentral:rRNA from 1 species
CACGUAGGGCGCAAGCGUUGUCCGGAAUUAUUGGGCGUAAAGAGCUCGUAGGCGGUCUGUUACGUCUGCUGUGAAAACCCGGGGCUUAACCCUGGGCUUGCAGUGGAUACGGGCAGACUAGAGGCAGGUAGGGGAGAAUGGAAUUCCCGGUGUAGCGGUGAAAUGCGCAGAUAUCGGGAGGAACACCGGUGGCGAAGGCGGUUCUCUGGGCCUUACCUGACGCUGAGGAGCGAAAGCGUGGGGAGCGAACAGG